UGGACCAAUGAUGACGAUUGGUGGUACAUGAGUCGUAUACAAUGAAUACUACGUGUCUGAAACUCUGAGGUAUGA